AGAGUUUGAUCCUGGCUCAGGACGAACGCUGGCGGCGUGCCUAAUACACGCAAGUCGAACGAGAAUUGCUUACACCGAGUGUUUGCACUCACCGUAAGGGAUUCGAGUGGCGGACGGGUGAGUAACACGUGGGUAACCUGCCUAUCAGAGGGGGAUAACACUUGGAAACAGGUGCUAAUACCGCAUAACAUUGAAAAGCGCAUGCUUUUCAAUUAAAAGGCGCUUCUGGUGUCACUGAUAGAUGGACCCGCGGCGUAUUAGCUAGUUGGUGGGGUAACGGCCUACCAAGGCAAUGAUACGUAGCCGAGUUGAGAGACUGAUCGGCCACAAUGGGACUGAGACACGGCCCAUACUCCUACGGGAGGCAGCAGUAGGGAAUCUUCCACAAUGGGCGCAAGCCUGAUGGAGCAACGCCGCGUGCGUGAAGAAGGUCUUCGGAUCGUAAAGCGCUGUUGUUAGAGAAGAACACGGAUAAGAGUAACUGUUUAUGCGUUGACGGUAUCUAACCAGAAAGUCACGGCUAACUACGUGCCAGCAGCCGCGGUAAUACGUAGGUGGCAAGCGUUGUCCGGAUUUAUUGGGCGUAAAGGGAACGCAGGCUGUUUUUUAAGUCCGAUGUGAAAGCCUUCGGCUUAACCGAAGAAGUGCAUUGGAAACUGGGAGACUUGAGUGCAGAAGAGGAGAGUGGAACUCCAUGUGUAGCGGUGAAAUGCGUAGAUAUAUGGAAGAACACCAGUGGCGAAAGCGGCUCUCUGGUCUGUAACUGACGCUGAGGUUCGAAAGCAUGGGUAGCGAACAGGAUUAGAUACCCUGGUAGUCC
rnacentral:rRNA from 1 species